ACAGCAGUAGCCGCGGGAAUACAGAGGGUGCGAGCGUUAAUCGGAUUUACUGGGCGUAAAGCGUGCGUAGGCGGCUUCUUAAGUCGGAUGUGAAAUCCCUGAGCUUAACUUAGGAAUUGCAUUCGAUACUGGGAAGCUAGAGUAUGGGAGAGGAUGGUAGAAUUCCAGGUGUAGCGGUGAAAUGCGUAGAGAUCUGGAGGAAUACCGAUGGCGAAGGCAGCCAUCUGGCCUAAUACUGACGCUGAGGUACGAAAGCAUGGGGAGCAAACAGGAUUAGAGACCCCCGUAGUCCCUGUCUCUUAUAA
rnacentral:rRNA from 1 species